AUGUGGUGUAUAGUGUGGCUGGGUGUGGUGUGGUGUGAUGUGGUGUAUAGUGUGGCUGGGUGUGGUGUGGUGUAUAGUGUGGCUGGGUGUGGUGUGGUGUAUAGUGUGGCUGGGUGUGGUGUGAUGUGGUGUAUAGUGUGGCUGGGUGUGGUGUGGUGUGAUGUGGUGUAUAGUGUGGCUGGUUGUGGUGUGAUGUGGUGUAUAGUGUGGCUGGGUGUGGUGUGGUGUAUAGUGUGGCUAGGCAUGGUGUGAUGUGGUGUAUAGUGUGGCUGGGCGUGGUGUGAUGUGGUGUAUAGUGUGGCUGGGUGUGGUGUAUAGUGUGGUUGGGUGUGGUGUGGUGUGGUGUACAGUGGUGUGAUGUGGUGUAUAGUGUGGCUGGGUAUGGUGUGGUGAGAUGUAGUGUAUAGUGUGGCUGGCUGUGGUGUGGUGAGAUGUAGUGUAUAUUGUGGCUGGGUGUGGUGUAUAGUGUGGCUAGGCAUGGUGUGAUGUGGUGUAUAGUGUGGCUGGGUGUAGUGUGGUGUGAUGUGGUGUAUAGUGUGGCUGGGUGUGGUGUGGUGUAUAGUGUGGCUUGGCAUGGUGUGAUGUGGUGUAUAGUGUGGCUGGGUGUGGUGUGGUGUAUAGUGUGGCUGGGCAUGGUGUGAUGUGGUGUAUAGUGUGGCUGGGUGUGGUGUGAUAUGGUGUAUAGUGUGGCUGGGUGUGGUGUGGUGUAUAGUGUGGCUAGGCAUGGUGUGAUGUGGUGUAUAGUGUGGCUGGGUGUGGUGUAUUGU